GAUGAACGCUGGCGGCGUGCCUAAUACAUGCAAGUCGAGCGAACAGACGAGGAGCUUGCUCCUCUGACGUUAGCGGCGGACGGGUGAGUCACACGUGGAUAACCUACCUAUAAGACUGGGAUAACUUCGGGAAACCGGAGCUAAUACCGGAUAAUAUAUUGAACCGCAUGGUUCAAUAGUGAAAGACGGUUUUGCUGUCACUUAUAGAUGGAUCCGCGCCGCAUUAGCUAGUUGGUACGGUAACGGCUUACCAAGGCAACGAUGCGUAGCCGACCUGAGAGGGUGAUCGGCCACCCUGGAACGUGGACAGGGUCCAGGCGCCUACGGGAGGCAGCAGUAGGGAAUCGUCCGCAAUGGGGGAAAGCUUGACGGAGCAACGCCGCGUGAGUGACGAAGGUCUUCGGAUCGGAAAACUCUGUUACUAGGGAAGAACAAAUGUGUAAGUAACUAUGCACGUCUUGACGGUACCGAAUCAGAAAGCCACGGCUAACUACGUG
rnacentral:rRNA from 1 species